rnacentral:lncRNA from 1 species
GGCAGUGUAACUUUUCCUGUUAAAGUAGUAGCCUAAGAAACUCUCAAUAAUGCACACAUUUUUUUUUUCUUCAUAGGGACAUCCAACGGGCUCAUAGAGUGGUAGCUGAGCUUCAGGCUGGGACGUGCUUCAUUAACAACUAUAACGUCAGCCCAGUGGAGUUGCCCUUUGGUGGAUAUAAGAAGUCAGGAUUUGGCAGAGAGAACGGCCGUGUGACAAUCGAAUAUUAUUCACAGCUGAAGACUGUGUGUGUGGAGAUGGGUGAUGUGGAAUCUGCUUUUUGAAAACCUGCAGUGAAACCUAUUGACAUGGCCACGCUGUGGAAUGAUGUGAAUUGGCCCUGUUUACAGAGGCAGUACAACUGAAUGUUAUUUUACAUCCAGAAUUUUGGCGUUCAGUAUAAGAGAAUGGUUCAUGUUACUCUUUCUCUCUCCAUCAGCUUCCUCACUGAAAAUGUGCAUUAAGUGCCUUGUAGAUACUAAUCAAGAAAGCUGUGAUUCUCCUCAAAGCGUAUUUUUGUGAAAUCUUUUAAGAGCCAGUAACAUACUUCUAGAGAACA